UACGUAGGGUGCAAGCGUUAAUCGGAAUUACUGGGCGUAAAGCGUGCGCAGGCGGUUUUGUAAGUCUGUCGUGAAAGCCCCGGGCUCAACCCGGGAAUUGCGAUGGAGACUGCAAGGCUUGAAUCUGGCAGAGGGGGGUAGAAUUCCACGUGUAGCAGUGAAAUGCGUAGAGAUGUGGAGGAACACCGAUGGCGAAGGCAGCCCCCUGGGUCAAGAUUGACGCUCAUGCACGAAAGCGUGGGGAGCAAACAGG
rnacentral:rRNA from 1 species